UUGGCCACGCCUGUCUCAGGGUCGGUUAAACAUCUUCGCAAGAAAUUGCGCAUUGGGCUGUCGCAGUCCUCCGGGACUCCGUCGCCUCAAGUUCAGACCCGAUUGCCUUCGCACGUCGUCGGGGCCCUCUCGACUACACAUGACGUAGCUCGCUUACAAGCAGUGCGCCGGUCGAGUUAGGGCCUGUUCUGUCAUGACGACGGGCGGGCGGUCGAAGCCUCGGACGAGUCGUACGACUCUCCAUCCUCCGACCUGAGAUCAGACGAGACAACCCCCUGAAUUUAAGCAUAUCACUAAGGGGAGGAAAAGAAACUAACUAGGAUUCCCUCAGUAACGGCGAGUGAAGCGGGAAAAGCCCAGCACCGAAUCCCUCGGCCUCGCGCCGCUGGGACCUGUGGUGUUUAGGACGCCUCACUGCGGUGGGGUACGGGUGCC
rnacentral:rRNA from 1 species